GGACGAACGCUGGCGGCAUGCCUAACACAUGCAAGUCGAACGGAGUUUUAAGAAUGGAUCUCUUCGGGGUGAAGCUCUUAAAACUUAGUGGCGGACGGGUGAGUAACGCGUGGGUAACCUGCCCUUUAGUGGGGAACAACUUCGAGAAAUCGAAGCUAAUACCGCAUACGCUAGCGCUAUCGCAUGGUAGUGCUAGGAAAGGUGGCCUCUGAAUAUGCUACCGCUAAAGGAUGGACCCGCGUCUGAUUAGCUAGUUGGUAAGGUAACGGCUUACCAAGGCGACGAUCAGUAGCCGGCCUGAGAGGGUGAUCGGCCACAUUGGGACUGAGACACGGCCCAAACUCCUACGGGAGGCAGCAGUGGGGAAUAUUGGGCAAUGGGGGAAACCCUGACCCAGCAACGCCGCGUGGAGGAAGAAGGUUUUCGGAUCGUAAACUCCUGUCCUCAGGGAAGAGCAGAAGACGGUACCUGAGGAGGAAGCCCCGGCUAACUACGUG
rnacentral:rRNA from 1 species